rnacentral:rRNA from 1 species
UACGGGGGGGGCAAGCGUUGUUCGGAAUUACUGGGCGUAAAGGGCUCGUAGGUGGCCAACUAAGUCAGACGUGAAAUCCCUCGGCUUAACCGGGGAACUGCGUCUGAUACUGGAUGGCUUGAGUUCGGGAGAGGGAUGCGGAAUUCCUGGUGUAGCGGUGAAAUGCGCAGAUAUCAGGAAGAACACCAAUGGCGAAAGCAGCUUUCUGGGACGGUACUGACGCUGAGACGCGAAAGCGUGGGGAGCGAACAGG